UAAAUGGUAAUCUUGUUAACAAAUCUCAUUUUAUGCUUGACUUCACAUAUAAAACCACCUGCACAUGCAGUCUUCCUCCAAGCAAUUUGUGAUGCAGCCUUUGCUAAAGAAUAGCACGAUUUCAACCUUGUAAAGGACUAAUACACCACAUGAGAAGAGGUUGCCUUAUAUCAAGAACCUUUGAAGAGUAUUAACAACAUGGAGCAAAUGACAAACGCCAAUGGCGAAGAACUUCAAAAUGCCUUUCUAUAAUGACAUAGUUCAUUCUUGCCCUUAUCUAAACCCCGUGGUGUUUGGGGACUUCCUCCGAAUUUCAUCAAAUGCAGCUUUAAUCUGCACAAGGAAGAUAGCACCAAGUAAUUAUCAAUAAAUGAAGAUGUCCAAGAUCGUAGCAUAAUAAAUUACCUCAUGAGAGAUUAAGGUACAAAUGCAUAAACAUCGACAUCAAUCAGAGUUGGACCACAAUGAAAGGAGACUUCAUUAGUUGGCCGAUGAAAACGAAACACACAGGCUUAAAAGAAGUAAGCAAUUAGCAACACUUUCUCUGUUUGUGUUUAGGAACAGAAUUGAAAUUAAUAAAAUUAUGCUGAAAAGGUGAAGUGCCUAAAUUACAGAACAGAAAGAUGCAUUUCCUACUUGGUUAUUUUGCAAGAUCCAAUUAGCAAAAUUAGCAAUACUAGAUCGUUUGCAAAGAGGUCAAUUUCAACUUUACAAAUCCAAUGCCACAUACAUGAGAACUGAGCUUGUCAAACCUAUAUAAUAACAUUAAGAGGAUAUCAUCACACAAAUAAACUGAUAGAAAUGGAGGAGCCUAGCAAUGCAUACCUCCCUCUGCAUAGCAUCAUCAAUUCCAUAGUGAUAUCAUUAGACUGCAACUGCAUCGAACAACUCUGCAUCAGGGUAACAUACAAAAAAUCAUCAACUUAGUUUUUGAUUAAAGGAGAGCUAGAACCUAAUGAGCAUACAUAAAGCAUAUUUAAUUGAAAAAAAAAUACAUUUACAAUCAUUUAGGGAUGUGACAUUGAGAUCAGAUCAAGUGUUUUGGAUCUUCACGAGUAUCAAAACUUCCUUAGGACACUCCAGUCAGCCCCAAAGCCUCUUCAAGUUUGGCACGCAAGAUGAUCCUUAGCAGUUGCUGAUGCUUCCUCUGCAAAACCCCUUUUGUUUAUUUUGAUCAGUCUCAAGUAUGGAAUUUGAAGUUCCUCAGCCAAGUGAGCCACGCCCAAAUCAGUCAUGUAAUAAAGCAAUUCCAUGGCAACAAUAGGAUCAAACGGUAUGCAAACUAAUUAGCAAAUUCUUGAGCCUUGAGCUCCUCAUCCUAGCUUGUUUCAUGACGGGCAAAACAUUGUUCAUUAAUGCAAAAGUCAUCAAUACAAUUAAUCGAACUGAACUCCCAAAGUAAGCCUUGAUCAUUACACAGACCAACCAAACUUGUCAUGGAAGCAGCACCAAUUUACCUUGCUUGAUAAUAUUCAAAACAAUAGUUUGACUACUAGUAAUGUUAAGGUGGUGUACAUUGAUAUAUGACAGACUAGCCAGAACUACUUUAACAUUUUUUUUUUUAAUCACAAACCAAAAACACUUGAUAUGUUUUAUUUUAGCUCACUUCAUCAUACUUAAUGGGAAUUGAUGCUAUUCUUAGAAGGUUCAAGAGGGACAUCAAGGGAACAAUAAGAAAUUUGACAGGGUUUCUGUUCAUCGUGGAAAACCAAUAUGUUUGUCUCAAACAAGACAUCUGCCAUUAGUCAAAUUUCACACAAAAGAACUCACAAAGUAACUCAAAAUGGCCAAGGAUCUUUUCAAGAAAUAUUAAUUCUGGACAGGGAAAUUCUGGGUGUAGUUUAUAAUAUUGAGUAGCAGAAGUUCAUCAGCCUCGAUUUGAAAAUUUCAAAUCCUAGGUUUACUUAUGGAAGAACUGUUAAAUCACUGGGGAAUUCUUGUUUACCUUUGCUUGAUAUUUUCAUCCUUGCCUNNNNNNNNNNNNNNNNNNNNNNNNNNNNNNNNNNNNNNNNNNNNNNNNNNNNNNNNNNNNNNNNNNNNNNNNNNNNNNNNNNNNNNNNNNNNNNNNNNNNNNNNNNNNNNNNNNNNNNNNNNNNNNNNNNNNNNNNNNNNNNNNNNNNNNNNNNNNNNNNNNNNNNNNNNNNNNNNNNNNNNNNNNNNNNNNNNNNNNNNNNNNNNNNNNNNNNNNNNNNNNNNNNNNNCUUACUAUGCCUUCUAUUGACAUUUGGGUCUAUAUUUUGAUCUUGGCUUAAGCAUCAUGUAUGACCAACUCCCCCAUUCCUUCAAUUAUGACAGAAUCUUGUCAUGGAAAACCUUCUUGUCAAAAGAAGAUGGGGAUGAAAAGUAGGUCAUGAAUCUCAGAAGAAAAAUGAUUGUUAACUGCUUAUUUACCUCUAUUGGGGAAACAUCACUCCAAAAGUCAAAAGACAGCUCUCGCUCAUAAUUUCUAAAGACGCGCGUUUCGGUAUUGCUUCCAAUGAGUCACAACCAGAAAUAUCCAAAUCAAUUAAAUCCAACUUUUCAAGUCCCCAAAGCUGAGGAGGUUUCUUGCUGUCUCAAACUCUUAGAGAUCCUAACUUCUCACAUCCUAUCAAAUCUAGAAAGUCUCUAUUGAUUUGCAUCCUGUAAAAUCCAAGUCUUCUAAGAACUUCGCACCAUCAAGACCUUGAAUUUCGACUAUAUUGUCGCACCCAACAGCCACUAAUUUCUUCAGACACCGUGAUUCUGGAUAGAGAAGCCUUUUAAUGGAAUUGCAAUCAUAUAUAAUUAUGACCUCCAAGAAUGCCAAAUUAUCAUGCCCUGAAUUUCAACUAGGCUAUCGCAAUGCUCAGCGUGCAAUCAUUUCAGAUGAAUCAAUCGUGAAAGGUUCAAUCUUUCAAUGGAACUACACUUUUCUAUGGAAAAUCUCGACAGAAGGCAAGUCACCAAUUUCACUUUUCAGACAACAACACGACGAGAUAUGUAGAGUCUGCAGAUUUUUCAGCCUUCCAAUCGCAUUGGGAAGCUUUUCAAUCGCAGAAAAACUCAAAUGAAGAUGUUGCAAAUUUUGUAAAUCCCCAAUUGAGCUAGGGAUUUCUCUCAGAGACUCACAACCAUAAGCGCUCGAUUUCUUCAACUUCCUCAGAGAACCAAUAGACGUGUUCAUGGUCAUCAAGUGAGAAAAAAAAAUCCUUCCCAUCCGAGAAAGGGGAGAGGCCGAGAUAGAGAGAGAUUGAGGACACGGAUGGACACGUGGUCGCCGAGCAACCGAUCCCAUGGAGUUGGCCAGAGUCUAGAGAUCAUGACGAUUCAAACUCUUAACCAAAACCAGAUGUACGUAGCCAAAUCCCGGCCUCGCAUGCUCGAACACACUUCACCCCCGCACAGACUAGACAACGCGAAGGAGUUGGCGAUAAAAGCAUCGUGGUGGAAUGAUCCGGAGAAGAAGAGGAAGAGGAGGGUGGCCAGAUACAAGCUUUAUUCGGUCGAGGGCAAGUUCAAGGCUUCUUUCAAACAAGGGUUCCGAUGGUUGAAGCGCAAAUGCUCGACCUUCGCACGUCGAUUCUAAUUAGCAGAAAUUACGGAAUACCGUGUCAUCGUCAUCAAGAGAGAAAAACGGUGAGAAAGAGGAAACAGAGAGAUUUGCUGUGCUCUUUGGGUGUUCAUCUUUAUAUGUAUCUAAUGGUGAUCAAAUAUUCAGAAGGGUGCUGCUAAUGUUCAAUCUUUCAGAUAUAAUGUUCAUCUGACUCAUUGUUUCAUUCAUUGCUCUCCAGCAUUCAAAACAUAGGCAAAUGAGACGACUCGGACGUGAUAGUAAUAUAUAUUUGUAUUUGCCGAUUUUUCUUGUUCUUUUUUGAAUUUUCUUACCUUCUAAUACAUUUGUAACAGGAUUCUGCAUCCAUGCCCAUGCAAAGUAGAAUUGUCUGAUUUGUUCAAUUCUCUUAUUUUCUGUAAGCUCUUUUCCUAAUAAAUGUGAUGCUGAUUGCAAAUGAGAUGACUCGUACAUGUAGGAUUGACAUUACCAUCUAUUUUGUGGUCGAUUUUGUUGGGUACAAUUUUGUUUUGGCCAAAUGUUGUUUACGCCUUGUUUCUGGGGUUCUUUAACCCCCUAAUUUCCUCUAUUUGUCUAGUUUGAUUCCUCUUUGUUGUACGAUUCAUCAUAUGGCAACAUAUAUUGCUGAAGUAGAUAUUCUAAAAUGACAUGCGCCGGUGCUAAACAAAACAAAAGGCUUUCGAUGGUUCCAUUUUGAUUUGAGGAUAAUUUUCAUAUUUCGAAUGCCAUCCUAUUGAGACCAGAGUUACGAAAAUGUGGAAAAUUGAAAAGCCCAAAGGGAACCUUCUUUAAUUCUAUCAAAACUUGCGUAGUUAUUGUUGAAAUGGUCGUAAUUUCAAGGAUCUUGAUGUAUAAUGUGAUAGAACUUUCAAAAAAAUGGUCAAAGCAAAUCUCUUGCAUGAAAUCGAAGGAGGAGAAGAUGAAAACCCAUAGCAGAACCGAACUGGUUCACCAGGUUUAACACCUUCAUCCAGUUAUCCAGUCGAUUCACAGUUUUCAAAUUUUAAAUCAAUUCAGCCGAUAUGGUUGUGACUAAAAUUCUAAAAGUAGUCAAAACACGUAGCCAUUGCCCUUUGGAAUAAUGGCUUAGACACUGGUUAAGCAAUUUAGUAAAUAAACUGUAGACUCAAUACAUCGACUUUACUUGUGAUUUUUCUUGUGAAAUGUUCAAUCAGUAUUCCGAAAAUUUAAUUAUUUCACAUUAAGUAUGUUUAACAAGUAUUUCAACACGCCCCACACUAUAUUUGUGUUAGUAAUUAUAGAUUUGAACUUGGCUUAAAAAGCUACUUGGCCUUACAAGCUACUUGGCCUUGUAUUGAGCUCUGGAAAAAUUGAGUAUAAGUUCAAGUAGACAAGCAGGGAAUCAGACAGAGUACCUUGCCAGUAGCUUUCAGCCUUUCAAUUACUAAAAUUCCACCAUUGUCAUCUAGUACACGGGUUCAGGAAUAUCAAAGAGUGACCUCAAAGAAAUUGCUUCGAUUGAGGCUUCAAUGCGUGACUGGUUAACACAAUUUGGUGUAGUAGAGUCUGAUUAUUAACCAAUAAGAUGACCCUUUUAAAGUUUUUUGUUCAAACCAAAUGAGUAAAUUUUGGGAAUGGCCCUUUUCACCUUUCCAAAAAUUUCCCACAUUUUUCGAUAGUCUUCAAUCGUAGCCUACGCCAGAGAAAAAUAGGUUUCAGAUAUGAAAAUGUACAUGGAUGCGGCUCUUCUGCUUUUAGAUUUUUUUUUUUUGGUAAGUUCUUCUGCUUCUAGAUUCAUGCUUAAAUAAAUCAAGUUUGAGAUUAUACUAUCAAAACGAUUGCAAAAUGCCUACAUAUGAUUUUUCAAUGUAACCAGACUAGGAAGAUGAUUUUACAUUGACGAGCGCUUUAUUUCAUGUUCAAAAUUCUUUCAAAUGAGAAAACUAUUGUCUUCUAGGAAACAUUAUCAUUGAAACUCUUGCCUGCAAUUGACAAAUUAUUUGCUAAUUCCAUGGCAUUUGCUUUUUCCACGACAAGAAUCUCUCCGCCACAAAAUUAUAGCUUGAAGUGGACAUCUAACUGGUAAUCUUGUUAGCAAAUCUCACUUUAUGCUUAACCUGCAAAUGCAUUCUUCCAGCAAGCAAUUUGUGAUUCGGCCUUUGCUAAAGAAUAUCACGAUGUCAAAGCUCCCCAAGGCCUAAUGCACCAUAUGAGAAGAGGUCGCCUCACAUCCAGAAUCCUUUGAAGAGUACUAACAACACAAACGCCAAAAGGAAAGAACUUCGGGAUGACUUUUCAGAAUGACAAAGCUCAUUCCUACUCGCAUCUCCAUCCCAUGGUGUUUGGGGACUUUCUCUGAGUUAAAUGAAUUGCAGCUUGAAUCUACACAAGCCAAAUAGCACUGACUAUAAUCAUUGGUAAUGAAAAAAACCAAGAUACGUAGCAUCACAAUUUACCUCAUCAAAGAUAAGGUACAAAUGCAUAAACAUCAUUUCACCGGUUGGACCACAAUGAACAGACGCUUCAUUAGGUGGCUGAUGAAAUAGAAAAGAACAGACUUGGAGAAGUAAGCAAUUAGCAAUACUUUCCAUGUUUGUGUUUAGGAACAGAAUUGAUGCUAACAGAAUGAUGUUGAAAAGGUGUGAGUGCCUAAACUACAGAACAGAGAGAUGUAUUUGUUACUUUGGUAUUUCACAAUAUCCUAUUAGCAAAAUCAGCAAUAGCGGAUAGUUUGCAAGGAGGUCAAUUUCAACUUUACAAAUCCAAUGCCACAUCCACAUGAGAGGUGAGCCUAUCAAAUCAGAAACCUACAUGAGAAUAUUUACGAGAUAUUAUCACACUAAUAAACUUAUAGAAAUGAAGGAGAUUGUCAUCAUGCAUACUUGCGUACUAAUUUCUGGUGAAAUUACAUAGCUCAUAUAGUCUAAGCACACAAGUAAGUCUUUCAUGGUACAACUAAGUAAGUCUUUCAUGGUACAACUAGCACUGCAUACCUCUCCCUUCAGAGCCUCAGCGAGUUGAGGAGUGAUAUAUUUAGAAUGCAACUUUAUCAAACAACUCUGCGACAUGGUAACAUACAAAAAGUCAGCAGCUACGUGUUUGAUUAACAGAGAGAUAGAACCUAAUAAGCAUACAGAAAGCAUAGUUAAUUGAAAAAAAUACAUUUACAAUCGUUCAGGUACGUACUGUUGAGACAUGAUCAAGUGUUCGAAUAUUCACAAGCAUCAAAACUUCCUCAGGACACUCCAGUUGGCCCCAGAGUGUCUUCAAGGUUGGCACAGAAAAUGGUCCUCAGCUGUUGUUAUGGAAUUUGAAGUUCCUCAGCCAAGUUAGAACUAGUAAUCAUGUUAACAAAUCUCAUUUUAUGCUUCAAUUCACAUAUAGAACCACCAGCACAUGCAGUCUUCCUGAAAGUGAUUUGUCAUUCAGCCUUUGCCAAAGGAGAGGACAAUGCCAAAGGUUGCACAGGACUAAAACACCACAUGAGAAGAGGUUGCUUUAUAUCAAGAAUCCUUUGAAGAGUAUUAACAACACAAAGCACAUGAUAAACGCCAUUAGCAAGGAAUUUCAGGAUGCAUUUCCAUAAUGACAUAGCUCAUUCCUGCAAUGUUUUGGGACUUUCU
rnacentral:lncRNA from 1 species